UUUAAACGACCGUUGGUUAAACGAACGUUACUUAAACGACCGUUAGCGACCGUUAGCCAACGUUAGCCUUCCCGUACGGCUUGUUGUUGGUGUGACCGAGGAGGAGGAGGAGGAGGAGCGGCUAACUGUCAGACGUUUCACCCUCUCAAAAUGUACGCCAUAUCGUCACACAGCGAACACAAGAGUAGAAACACAGCAGAGUGAUGAGGAGCAGUGGAGCCACCACGGCCAGGCAGAUUAUCACGGGAAACGGGAGACGACUGGAUGCUGGAUGUCCAUGUGCCAGAUAAGUCUAAUCCUGCCAAACUCCGGUGUCCAGCAGCAGGUGAUGGUUACUGUCUCCCCCUCCAUGACGGAGACAUCAGGACUAUGGGUAACAACAAGUGUAGAUGAAACACCUAUGAAGAGACAGAGUGAUACAUG